GGGACGAACGCUGGCGGCGUGCUUAACACAUGCAAGUCGAACGGUGAUCUUGAGAGCUUGCUCUUGAGUGAGCAGUGGCGAACGGGUGAGUAACACGUGAGUAACCUGCCCCAGACUCUGGAAUAAGCGCUGGAAACGGCGUCUAAUACCGGAUAUGGCACUAAACCGCAUGGUUAUGGUGUGGAAAGUUUUUCGGUCUGGGAUGGACUCGCGGCCUAUCAGCUUGUUGGUGAGGUAAUGGC
rnacentral:rRNA from 1 species